UACAUUAUUCCCAAACUAAUGUUCAAUGUUAAGACUGCUUCAUAGAUAGUUGGGUAUGAACACAUGAGCAUAGACAUUUGCACUGCCAGGUUCAGCCAUUGAUCUUGUCCCAGUCUAUGAGUUGAAAACAGCUGGCUCUUUAAUGAGAACAGCAAAACAGUUCCAAGCCAUUUUGAUGCAUGAAAUAGUCUUUAUUUUUUUCCGAAACAAAUAUUUUCAGCUUGAAACAUAGUUUUUAGUUAGCUUUAGUCUCCAUUCCUUCCGUCCUCACUUGCUGAAUGGUAAAGAUGCCAUAUUUUGAAAUAAAUUCACAUUGCAUUCAUACAAAUGUGGAUUCUGUUGUGAAUAAAUUGGGGGAAGAAAAGCAGGAAGCCACGGAUAGCAGAAAAGCAACAUGAUGAAUUAUGCUGUGCUUCUAGUGAUCAAGUUGAGAACUAGAACAAAAAAUCUACUGCACAACAUAUGAUUGAUGCUUCAGAUAGAUGUGCAACAUUCUCUUCAUCUAAGAUAACCCAUUGUCCUUGUCUAAAGUCCACUUAUCUAUUUCUUUGACAUUGCUAAACGUAGUUGAUGUCUCGUCAGUCUGUCUAAGAAUUCCCUUGAAUGUGUCCUACUUUCUUUGUCUCGCAUUUUUGGCUGUUUUUAAUUAUUUUCACUUUGUGUUUCAGUCAUGAGAAGGCAUCAAAUGAUUUUGCGUUGAGGGUAGAAUAAUCUGUGUCACAAUGAUUCUGCAAGUGAGAACCUAUGUGGUCCUCACGGGGAGAGUGGACACUUUGGACGAGAGCUGCCAGGACCCACGUGACCACAUGACAGCAAGAACUUUGAGCAGAAAAGGAAAAAUUUUGGGGUGGAAAAGAUUGUUGGCUUCUUCACCAUGAACAGAACUGCAGCGACAUGCUGGACCCUCAUCCUGUUGGUCGCGAUCUUCUGUGAAAAUGUCACCACCAAGGGAGGGAGAGGAGGGGCCCGAGGCGCAGCUCGCGGAUCGUCCCGGGCCUCCCGCUUUCGGGGGGGCACACACGCAAAAUAUUCCAGCCGUAGAUCUUACUCGAACCCUCGGCGAAUUGUCACAGGGUCCCGACAUAGGCCUCGAGCUGCAGCAAGCCGGUUUGUACCUGGAAGGCUUAGCUGGGGCAGCUCAAUGGGUUACAUUAGUCAGUACCAUCCCCCUGGCACGAAUGGCACGUCUGAAGGAGGCUAUAGGUACAGCAUCUGGUCCUCUAUCACCGGAGCCCUGUGGUAUUCUUUCAGCAUGUCAUCCGUGUGCUCCGUGCUUACUCUGAAAUGUUUCCAUUUCUGAAACUUCCCUCAAUCUGAUAACCUUGUUGAUCGAAUUUAAUAUCACUUUCACCCAAAUAAAUGUUGUUCCACUUACAAAAUACACAGACACUUCGCAGGAUAACCCAUGAUUCAUUGUGAGACAACAACUUGCAUUUAUAUAACCCCUUUCACACGGGUUAGGGUCUUGGAGCGCUGCCGUCCACCCAACAUGAAAUGCACUACAUUAAACACAAGGAUGAUUGUUAUUAUAAGACAUUGGCUUGCAGCACUGAAUAAACAUAGAUAAUAUAGAUUGUAUUUCAGGACAUUUCCUCCAAAAAAAUUGAAGCACAGUAUAGCACUAGCUAGGUUAGAUGCAACAAAAAAACUUGCACUUAAAAAGCACUGCUUGCUCCAAGUAAUUCUGUUACAAUCUCAGUUGCACUCACUGAAGACUUGGAUUGCUGAUAGAUUCUGGUGGUUCCUGCCUGCAUCAAUAGCCACUUCAAACCAUAGGCAAUGCCUUUUAUUAUGGCUAAUUCAAACAAUUAAAUCAGGCAGGUGCAAAGGGUACUUUGCACUUUACUCUUUUAAAUGUAAUUUGUUGUUGUUGCACCUGUUCUCGAAAAUAGAAUUGAACUUUUAGCAUUUUGUAACAAAUUAUUUCACGUGAAUUAUGAGCAAACUGAACAAA